rnacentral:rRNA from 1 species
GAUGAACGCUAGCGGCAGGCUUAAUACAUGCAAGUCGAGGGGGCAGCAAUGUCACCGGCGAACGGGUGCGUAACACGUAUGCAACCUACCUAUAUCAGGGGGAUAGCCCGAGGAAACUCGGAUUAAUACCGCAUAAUAUUAGGAUCGGCAUCGAUUUUAAUUGAAAGAUUUAUUGGAUAUAGAUGGGCAUGCGUAGGAUUAGCUAGUUGGUAAGGUAACGGCUUACCAAGGCUACGAUCCUUAGGGGCUCUGAGAGGAGUAUCCCCCACACUGGCACUUGGAUACGGGCCAGACUCCUACGGGAGGCAGCAGUAGGGAAUAUUGGGCAAUGGGCGAAAGCCUGACCCAGCCAUGCCGCGUGCAGGACGACGGCCCUCUGGGUUGUAAACUGCUUUUGAAUGGGAAGAAAGGUAUGCUUGCGAGCGUAAUUGACGGUACCAUUAGAAUAAGCCACGGCUAACUACGUGCCAGCCGCCGCGGUAA